CGUAAAAUUGCAGGAGUGAAUCGCGAUUCGGCUGGAACUCGGUGGAUGAUAAUAUAAUAAAACGAUGUCAUCAUCGGCGAUCUUGCACGUUUGUGUCGUGGUUAGCUAGGUAGCCGCGUACGUAUACGAACGGCGCGGCGUGUAACGGUCACUAGGAUGCGCGCGUUCCCCUGGACCAUUCUAAUAUCAAGGACACACAGUGAUGCGAUGGAUGCGACUACGAGAAUAGUGAUGGCGCGCGGUGGCGAAGCAGGGGGCAGAUGGAGAUGGGAGCAAAUGCGGACGACCCUCGACCCGGCACGCUGAAACCUGGAGGAUAUCUGACUCACGACGACGCGACGCGUGAGUCCGUUCUAUUCUACCGAUUUUGAUAAAAUUGCUCAUGGCCAGACAUUUCUAGACAUUAAAAUGGUCUUCAAAUAAGAUUAUGAGAUUCAUAGGACGGUAUUUAGUCCGUUCUUACUUCAAGAUCAUAUCAAGAAAGACCGCACUAUUAUGGACUCGGAAAAUUUCACGAAGGAAAGGAUUUUCUCGGUCGUGGCAAAGUUGCGACGCUGUAAAAGACGGGGACGGCGCGUACGUGAUUGCUGAUCGCAAUCGUAGACGAAUGGUUACGUUAUACGGGAUAUGAUUAUUGGCCGACCGGAAUAAUAAUUGUAAUCAUCGCCGGCAGAGAUAAUGAUGAGUUGACGACGAGUCGUCGCAGUAAAGGCGCAGUGCCAGAGGUGACACACGCGAACUCGCACAACGCAUCAGAGCUCCCACACUACCUAUCUCCCGUACAACUAGUACCGUCUAACGGAUUGCACAGAAACGAUAUUGUGACGAAUCAACUGGCGCCAACUGCGCAUUAUAACCUGUUCUCUUGCAAUCAGCAUCGAACGAGAUUGUAAAAGGGGUUGGUAUUA